GACGAACGCUGGCGGCGUGCUUAACACAUGCAAGUCGAACGGAAAGGCCCUGCUUUUGUGGGGUGCUCGAGUGGCGAACGGGUGAGUAACACGUGAGUAACCUGCCCUUGACUUUGGGAUAACUUCAGGAAACUGGGGCUAAUACCGGAUAGGAGCUCCUGCUGCAUGGUGGGGGUUGGAAAGUUUCGGCGGUUGGGGAUGGACUCGCGGCUUAUCAGCUUGUUGGUGGGGUAGUGGCUUACCAAGGCUUUGACGGGUAGCCGGCCUGAGAGGGUGACCGGCCACAUUGGGACUGAGAUACGGCCCAGACUCCUACGGGAGGCAGCAGUGGGGAAUAUUGCACAAUGGGCGGAAGCCUGAUGCAGCAACGCCGCGUGCGGGAUGACGGCCUUCGGUUUGUAAACCGCUUUCGCCUGUAACGAAGCCUGAUUGACGGUAAUGGGUAAAGAAGCACCGGCUAAUUACGUG
rnacentral:rRNA from 1 species